GUAGGAUGGAAAGCAAGGCCCUGAUUGAAGGUCUCAAGCUGAAGUCGAAGGGUUUCUGGAAGUAUCCCCAACUGGAUAACUGGUUCAGCUGUAUUGCCUUUCCUGCUCCUGCCUUUGAGCUGAGAACUACUCCCAGAGAAGUGUCCCGAACCCUCCCAAACAGGCUGGUUGUGCCCCAAAGUGUCCUUGGAGGCCCCUCUGUCCCCGCGGGGGGGGGAGGUUUGCAGUCGCUGCCCCCAAAUGUAAUUGUGUCCCGGGGUCUUUGCUUUCAGUGGAGAUGGCUCCAGGCUGGUCCCUGCCUAACCCUCAGUGGCAUCCCCAGAAAGGGAGUUCUGAGUCUGAGGAGACCCACUCGGCUCCUUCGGGGGGGAAAAAUGACCUUAAAUCGGCAGAAAAGUAUUGGUUGGUGAUGUCUGUGUAACACCAGCUUCGUGUUUUAUGUCAGCUGAGUUAAAAAUGACGGAUUUGUGAAACGUAUCAGCAUGAUGCAAGUCUAGUUCUUCAGUUAGGUGACAAAUUGGUGACCAUAUAACUGAUUUCCAGUACAGUGUAAGUCUUCUUAGAAUUUGGGGAAAAAAGAAAACAGGACCCAGCCUCUUAUUUUUUCCAUUGUAUGUGAGUCCAUCAUUUGGCCCCUCCUAAUAACGAGGUGUUUCAUGUAACAUCCACACGCUGCAGCUGUUUCACUUUUACAACCAAAGUCAACAACCAAAGUGUAACACUGUGAGGAGAGGCAGGGAGAGGAAGGCUGGAUUGAGCUGUCCUGCCUGAGAUGGAGGGAAUGAAAAGCCCGAGGUUUGUGAGCCGUGUCCUCAGGUGGUGGUGCUGGGGGUGAUUCCCAACGUGGGUGCAUUGUCUGUCGGGUUCCAGUGAGGUCUAUGACUUCUGGCUACAGCCAAGUGAUUAGCUCCUUCGAGUUAAUUUUUCCUUAUUUCUGGUGACCGAGCCUCCUGCCGCUUCAUUCCACUGAGAUCUGGAGGUGAAAACCUUCAAAUCACUGCACCUGGGGCUGGUUUAAUGGUGGUAUCUGCAUUUCUCCUCACCUCCAGUGCCAGCAGGGAGUUCCUGGUGGGCAGAGCUGCCUUCCCUGCUCCUGC
rnacentral:lncRNA from 1 species